CCUACGGGGGGCUGCAGUGAGGAAUAUUGGUCAAUGGGCUUACGCCUGAACCAGCCAAGUCGCGUGAGGGAAGACUGCCCUAUGGGUUGUAAACCUCUUUUGUCAGGGAGCAAUUGGCGCUACGUGUAGCGUUAUCGAGAGUACCUGAAGAAAAAGCAUCGGCUAACUCCGUGCCAGCAGCCGCGGUAAUACGGAGGAUGCGAGCGUUAUCCGGAUUUAUUGGGUUUAAAGGGUGCGUAGGCGGAAUGCCAAGUCAGCGGUAAAAUCGCGGGGCUCAACCUCGCUCCGCCGUUGAAACUGGCGGUCUUGAGUGGGCGAGAAGUAUGCGGAAUGCGUGGUGUAGCGGUGAAAUGCAUAGAUAUCACGCAGAACUCCGAUUGCGAAGGCAGCAUACCGGCGCCCAACUGACGCUGAAGCACGAAGGCGUGGGUAUCGAACAGGAUUAGAUACCCGUGUAGUC
rnacentral:rRNA from 1 species